UACGUAGGGGGCAAGCGUUGUCCGGAAUUAUUGGGCGUAAAGAGCGCGUAGGCGGUCCGGUAAGUCGGUUGUGAAAGUCGGGGGGCUCAACCCUCGGAUGCCGAUCGAUACUGUCGGGCUAGAGUCCGGAAGAGGCGAGUGGAAUUCCUGGUGUAGCGGUGAAAUGCGCAGAUAUCAGGAGGAACACCAAUGGCGAAGGCAGCUCGCUGGGACGGUACUGACGCUGAGGCACGAAGGCCAGGGGAGCAAACGGGG
rnacentral:rRNA from 1 species